GUGCUCGCUUCGGCAGCACUUAUAACUAAAACUGGAAGGGUAUAGAGAAGAUUAGCAUGGCCCCUGCGCAAGGAUGACACGCAAAUUUGUGAAGUGUUCCAUAUUUUU